rnacentral:rRNA from 1 species
GGGGAACGGAGUUCAUGCCCGAAAGGGUAGACCUCCCACCCUUGUGUAUUAUUACUUUGUUGCUUUGGCGAGCUGCCUUCGGGCCUUGUAUGCUCGCCAGAGAAUACCAAAACUCUUUUUAUUAAUGUCGUCUGAGUACUAUAUAAUAGUUAAAACUUUCAACAACGGAUCUCUUGGUUCUGGCAUCGAUGAAGAACGCAGCGAAAUGCGAUAAGUAAUGUGAAUUGCAGAAUUCAGUGAAUCAUCGAAUCUUUGAACGCACAUUGCGCCCCUUGGUAUUCCGGGGGGCAUGCCUGUUCGAGCGUCAUUUCAACCCUCAAGCUUAGCUUGGUAUUGAGUCUAUGUCAGUAAUGGCAGGCUCUAAAAUCAGUGGCGGCGCCGCUGGGUCCUGAACGUAGUAAUAUCUCUCGUUACAGGUUCUCGGUGUGCUUCUGCCAAAACCCAAAUUUUUCUAUGGUUGACCUCGGAUCAGGUAGGGAUACCCGCUGAACUUAAGCAUAUCAAUAGGCCGGAGGAA